CGUGUUGAAUGCUUGAGAUGA
rnacentral:piRNA from 1 species